UUGUCUGGAGGGGAAAGGUAAUAACAUUGAAAUGUAAAUUUAAAAAUAUCCAAAAGAAAAAAAUAAGGCUCCUAUGAACAUAGUGGAGCAUGUGUCCUUGUUACAUGUUGGACCAUCUUUUGAGUAUAUGCCCAGGAGUGGUAUAGCUGGGUCCCAGGUAGUACUAUGUCCAAUUUUCUGAGGAACUCUAGACUGAUUUCCAGAGUGGUUGUAUCAUCUUUCAAUCCCACCAACACUGGAGGAGUGUUCCUCUUUCUCCGCAUCCUCACCAGCAUCUGCUGUCACCUGAGCUUUUGAUCUUAGCCAUUCUGACUGGUUUAAGGUGGAAUCUCAGGGUUGACCCCCAUUUUCAAGAGUUCCCCCCCCCCCGUUGAAUUAAUUCCUCAGGCUAGCCCCCAGGUAUGGGGCUGAAGAACUCUUCAAGCUUCUGCUUGUAUGACCAGCAGCCUUGGGUGUGGCUAGAGCAAGGACUGUGAGCCAUUCCUUGUGGUCCCUGGAGCGUGACCCAGAGAGGUUGUUGAGGGUCGGGGACUCUAACAGACCUGGUCUUCCUUCUCUGGCUAUGUUGCCUACUUGCUCCUGUGUGGUCAAGACACCUUCAACAGCAGUAAAAGCUGUCUGGCCUGUAAGCUAUUCAGGACAAAAGGCUAACAGUGAUGCCUGUUAGCAUAUCAAAGCGCUUGCUAGCCUCCAGUCUCCCUCGGGACCUGUGGCUCAGCCCUUAUCACUCUGCCCCACCCCUAACUUGAGAAUGGGGUGGGAGGGGUUGGAGUCUGGAAAGAAAGUGGUAAAAGUGAUGUAAUUCUAUUUCACUUUUAAAACGUAUUUUAAGGGGCUGGAGAGGAGGCUCAGUGGUUGAGCCCUUGCUGCUCUUACAAAGCACCUACGUGUUGGCUUACGACCAUCUAUAACUGCAGGUCCAGGGGAUCUGUGGGUCUCUUCUGACCUCAGAGGGCACUAGGCACUCGCGUAGUACACAGAUACACAUGUAAGCAAAAUAUUCACAUACAUAAAACAAAACAGCUCAGCCCUGCAGGCUCCCGGGAUAACAGAGAGCCUCCAUGAGUGUCAUCCGAGAGUCUGCCUGGACAGGCAGCUAACCUCAGCAGGAAACACUUCCCUAAGCGAUGAAAGCAGAGAAGCCUCCCAGCAGUCAGCAGUCAGCAGCCACCUUAAGUGCCCCAAAGAUGCUUCCUGUGAGGAAGACAACACUCAGAAGCUCUUCUGCCGCCCCUCCCCCAAUGCAGAAGAUUUGCCCGUGCUGACUCAUGGCAGGAUCCAAACUGUGACUUGAAACCAGAUUCUGAUCUGGCGCUGCCCUCAAACUGGGAUUUCCAGACAAGCCCUGGGGAAUUCUGUAGCCACCCAGGUCCUCAAGGGCACUGUAGCCCUGGAGGGACACACUGGCACGUCCACAUAUGACAUCAUACUGGACUUUUACCCACACGUUUAUUUCGAGGUUAUCCUAUGUCCCUCCCACUCUCUAACCUCUUUGAGAGGUACUCCAAUGCUGGUCUUCCAGAGAAGGUCCCCAAUGGUCCUAAACCCCCCUGAUAACGCCCAUAAGAAAGCCCGUGAUGGCCUUCUGCAGAAGAGCACGUGCAGGACAUGAUGGGAUGCCUUCUAAAAGGUGUGGCCCAAAUUUAGGAUAGGUCUCCCAACCUCGGCUGAUCCAGACUAAGGAUGGAUCAUCGGGUGUCCCGGCUGCUUGGGUUUUAGUUGAUUUCAGAUGGAGUCAAGUUGAAGAUGAAGAUUAGCCAUCUCACCUCCUUAUCAACAAACUGAGGAGAGAGAAUGAUAACGCUCCUUUAGACACACUGUUGGAAGCGCCAGGUGGAUGGACGGCAGCAAAGCAGGAAGUGUCAGGCCUCAGAUGCUACCUGGUGGCCGUCUUAACCUUAUUCAGGAUCCGUGGAAGCUAGGGCUCUGCUCAUACUCUCCAAAGAGUUUAGCUGUUAGUCAGAAGGACAUAAGGCUCACCUCUGUUCUGCUCAUCCGCUCGUCUCCCGCCCCUGAUGGGCACACGCUGAAAACACAAUCACCAUCCAGCUUCAUGCGGUCUGUCUCACUGUAACGAAAAUGCUCAAGGCUGGGAACUUCACAAGGGAGUGGGUUUAUUUAAUGUGACAUUCUGGUAGUUCACAGUCGUGACUCCUUCAACUUCGCACUGAGAAGGCUAGCAGGUGGGCUCAAAAUGUCUGGUGGACAGGCAGAAGAGAGAUUUGGAGAAAGUCCUGGCCUGAUAUAAGACAACUAGUGCAAUCUAAUCUACCAAAGCUCGAUCCAUUUCCACAAAACAUUAAUCAAUUUAUUAGCAGAGUAGAGCCCUGACCUAGUUAGGGUUUACUACUGCGAAGAGACACCAUGACCAAGGCAACUCUUAGAAAGAACAACAUUUAAUUGGGGUUAGUUUACAGGUUCAGAGGUUCAGUCCAUUAUCAUCAAGGUGGGAACAUGGCAGCAUCCAGGCAGGAUGAGCUGAGAGUUCUACAUCUUCAUCUGAAGGCCGCUAACAGAAUACUGGUUUCCAGGCAGCCAGGAUGAGGGUAUUAAAGCCCACAUCCACAGUGACACACCUACUCCAACAAGGCCACUCCCACUCAACCGGGCCACACCCACUCCAACAGGACCACACCUUCUAAUAGUGCCACUCCAUGGGCCAAGCAUGUUCACACCAUCACAAGCCCCAAUGACCUAAUUCACUUCCACUAGAUUCCCAUUUCUCUAAGGUCCCCCACUGUGUUGCCAUACUGGGGACCAAACUUCCAGCACAGCCAAGUCAUAGCAUUCUCCUGAGAAAUCAGCUUUUGCACCAACUCUUCAUCAAAGAAUCUGUCCAUCACUCCACUUCGAUAAGGAUAAGAGAAUGGAUACUGUUGCAGUCAUUGGGCUUCCAAGAUUCCAGUAAUGCAAGCAACAGAAAUGCAGACUUCCAUUUCCCACAAUAGGACCGACCAGGUGACUCCCUGGCUGGCACGACAAAACACCAAAAUGAUGACAUAAUGUUUAAAGACAAUCACUCCUGUAUUUGUGUGCACACAGGUUUGCUUGUGCAGGUGUGAGAGAACGCAUGUGCAGGUGUGUGUAUAUGUGCGUGAAAGCCAAAUGUUACCCUAGGGUGUCAUUCUUUAGGCUCCAUUCUCUCUGUGCGUGUGUAUGUGUGUGUGUGUGUGUGUGUGUGUGUGUGUGUGUCUGUGGUGUGGUGUGUGAGCAUGUGUGUCUGAGUGUGUGUAUGUGUGCACACGCACUCGCGUGCGAGAGACAGGGACAGAGACAGAGAGACAGAGACAGAGUCUCAUUAGCCUGGCAGAUAGGCAGGGUUAGCUGUGCAUAGAGCCCCAGGAUCCUCCUAUCACCACCUCCUGAGUAAACAGGAUUGAAAGCUUGAACCACCACACCCAGCGCAUGUUUGUGAGGGUUUGGAGGCUCUGGAGGCUCGGGUCCCUAUGCUAUCAGGCACUUUACCAACCGAGCUGGAACCCCAGCCUACCACAACGAACCUCAGGAACCAGCAAAACCCAGAGGUUGUCAAUGACAUCCACCUCAAAGGCAAUUCCAGGUUUAGCCUCUCAUAAAAAGCUCUAGACCAUAACCACAAAGAUUAAGGCCCCCCUGGGAGCUGGGAGUGAAUGACUCCUAGCAAAAUAAACUCCCCCACUCUCAGUGAUUUAAAGUGGCAGAAUUAAUUUCCAGAGUUUGAGACUCCCGCACCACUGGGAUGAAAUCAAAGUGUCCAAGGAGCCUCUGGUGGCUCUGAGGAGAAUCUACUCCCUGCCUCUUCCAAACGUUUUUAUUCCUGGUCUUGUGGCCACGCCAGUCCUCCUUCAGCCUCCAUAUCUACCCCUCUCCUCCCUCCCUCUGUAUCACCCCACUGCUUUUCUUCUAUGAAGUCUCCCUUCUUAACUCCAGACAAUUCCCUAUCCCAGUAUUCUCAGUCACAUUUGUGAAGAGCACCCACCCAACAGUCACAAGUGCCACGUAAAGGACCUGAUGGUCUUUGAGAUCUUUACAUACAUACUACAAGGAAACCAUUUUGGGUUGCUCUGGGGUUUGGCUUGGUUUCUGAGCGAUGGAGCCAAACCCUAUCUUUCCUGAGAACUAACCUCACAGUGGUCCCUGUGGUUCCAAGUUCCGAAUCACCCUUAUCUAGGUAGUCAUCCAAAACCUCAGGGUAACUCUUGUGGGUCACAGAGCCCCAAAGGAGCCUAUCACUAACGAGAGCCAUCAGGACCAGUGGCCAGCUGCUAAAGCAGAGCGGCAAAGUACUGAAGGCAGGCGUAAAUUCUCCAAGAACAUCUGGUUCAUUCCCAUGGAGGAAGCUCUGGCAGAGUGAGGGGAGCCCAGGAGAUGAGUCGCUCACAGACCCCUAUUUCCCAGGGAAUGUGGACGUGUGUCCCUUCCCAGGCAGUAGCUGUAACUUGUCCAGCGGCAGUGGGAAUCGGUGAUUUUUUUUUAAUUGUGUCAUGUGCGUGUGUACAUGUGUGUGCACACCUGGUAUGUGGGAGCACCGGCGUGCCAUGGUGUGAGUGUGAAAAUCAGAGGUAAUCUUGGGUGUCUGUCCUCGCCUACCACCUUGGUUAAGAUGGUGGGUUGGGUUUUGUUUUUUUUUUUAAGAUUUUUUAAAAGAAAUUUAUUAUUAUAAUCAUAAUUGUAAUAAUUAAUUAUCGUCUUGCUUAAUGCGUGUAUUUGUGAUUGUGGUCAGCCAUGCUUCUGUAACUGACAAAAUGCCCCUGCCAGAGCACUAGGCUAAGGUUAGUCAGCUGCUGCAGACAACCUGAAGCAGCCCCAGGUCCCACACCUGGGACAAAAACAUUCCCACAGCAUCGCUUUGUUUUUAAAGAAACCGAAAUUCUCACUACAGAGCAACAGGCUGACAACCCAGGGAAGACACUGUCUCUGUUCAAGUUCAAAGGCAGUUCAGGGCAGGAGGACCUCAGUGUGUGUUUGUUUGUUUGUUUGUUUGUUUGUUUGUUUGUUUGUUUGUUGUUUUCUUCUCAUACCACCUCCAAUGGGAUCAGUCCACCACAUUCCAGAGAGCAAACUACUCUACUCCAGAUCUCCUGAUGUUAAUCUUACCUAAAAACUUUCAUGGUAUCAGAGACUAGCAUUUCAUAAACUGUAUGUUUGUGGUAAUAUAGUUAUCCUAAAGAUGUAUCUUAAGAAUGUUAUUUAACUAAAUACUUUCUAGUAGGAUGUUUCGAAUGUUCUAGGCAAGAGUACACUGUCUGUGUACAGAGCAUCUUAUGACUUUUCCUGAGCACGGAGGAGAAGAAGAGAAAGAUGAAAACUAGACGCUUCUAAUACAAGACAGCCAAAGGAGAGAGGAGCUCUGUCGUGAAGCUGACCUGAAUCGGAGAGGAGGAGACAAAGAGUCCAGCAAGGGCAAUGUGAGAAUUGCUGAACAGAUGUCAGGAAAAGGAAAACAAUGAAGACUCAGACCAGCAAAGGCUUUGAUUUCAAAAGACCUUUACUGAAGAUCUUAAGGGCUGUUUUAGGAGGAAGGAAACUGACCUCAGACGGGAGAGGUGCUAUUUUUAGGACGCAGGAAAACUUGGGAAGUACAUUGGUCAAUCAAAACAAAUAUUGAUUUAUUAUAUCAAACAGUCAAACAAGCCCUCUAUAGUACAGAAUUGGAGUGGGAACCUCUUGAUCCCCACGAAUCAGGAAUAUGAAAAUGAAACUGUUUACAAACCACAAAGAAAGUAGAUUUUACGCUAUCUUGACAUUUAAUCUUAUCUAUGGGGCAAUACCUAUGUUGUUAGUCGUUUCAUAAUGCACACCAUAUUUAGAAAUGAGCUUUGCAAAUAAAGAGUAAAAUCCA